UACGAAGGGGGCUAGCGUUGUUCGGAAUUACUGGGCGUAAAGGGCGCGUAGGCGGUGUGUCAAGUCAGGCGUGAAAGCCCCGGGCUCAACCUGGGGACUGCGUUUGAUACGUGCGGGCUUGAGUUCGGAAGAGGGUCGUGGAAUUCCCAGUGUAGAGGUGAAAUUCGUAGAUAUUGGGAAGAACACCGGUGGCGAAGGCGGCGACCUGGUCCGAUACUGACGCUGAGGCGCGAAAGCGUGGGGAGCAAACAGG
rnacentral:rRNA from 1 species